AAACCCUCUCAUUCCAAUUCUUUAUUAAUUUGAAGAUGUUGGUAAUGGAUGUUGAGUGUUUGCUGUGUUAAACAGCUCACUUUAAAUAUAUAAGUACAUUUCUUUGAUAAAUAAAUGGAGAAAUACUUGGUGUGAUAAUUAUCAUUCAUCAAGGAAUGUUAGAGUAGUAAAAUACUUUGACAGCCAUUUGACUUUCAAGUUAAUAGCUUCCUAACCCCAAUAUUAUAUAAACU
rnacentral:misc_RNA from 1 species